GCACUGCUGAGGAGCCCAACAAUAGGACAAAACGGCCGUCCAGUGC
rnacentral:hammerhead_ribozyme from 1 species